UGUUGCAGCAAAAUAGCGACUAUUUUUCAAUGACUUGACAAACGUUGGCUAUUUUUGAAUGACUAAUCCGAAAGCUGGCUAGACCGUGCUAUUUUAACAAAAAAGAAGGUGAUAAGAAAAGUAGCAAUAGCCCGUGUUUGAAAGUCUAUAAUGCGUUGACUAUUGAAAAUACAAGCAGUUUCCUUGUAACAACAACAAUAAACCCAAUUAUUUCCACAAUUGGGGUAUGGGGAGGGUAAAAUAUAGGCAGCCUUACCCCUACGCCUAGAAGGACAAAGAGGUUAUUUCCGAUAGACCCUCGGCUAGAGAACAACUGAGAAAGAAAAGAUAAUUGCAACAAAGUAAUUUCCUCGUAACCAUUACUCCUAUUAUUAAACCAUCGCAUGAUUUCGUUACCGGCUUUUGGAACAAUUGAUGAUCUCAGUGACCAGUAACUCUUGACUACCUCAAGCUCAAGAAAAAACCUCUGUUCUUUUCUCCUGAAAAGCACAAAGAUAAUUGGUAAGGUGCAUAACGAUCGAAGAUUAAUAAGCAAACCAUACUACUAUUGGGGCAAAUUGCUAUAGAUGACUAUUGGCUAUUUGGCUACAUAAUUUUAAGGUAAAAUGCUCUCAAGGGUUCUCUGAUCUGGGGUCGAGAAUCGAGAUUUGCUGGAUUCGGAUAAAUAAAUCUUAGCUAUACCCCUUUCCGUGUUCAAUUUCCAGAACAAAUUAGUGCAAAAAAGAUAGUACCACACGCUACGAGUUUUUUUUUUUUUUACACAUUAUGCAAUGGUAGAAAAAGUGAAAUGGUAAAGAGGAAGAAAGACACCUAGAUAAUUGAAACUAAAGGGAUUGAGUUGAUUCUUAAUAAUCGGGAAAAAGGAUAAAGAAAAUGAUAAGAUAAUCUUAAUUGUUUUCCUUCAAUUUUUAUAAUCAUAAUAUUCGGAUCAGCUUGUACUCACAUCAACUAAUUCCACAAGAUACUUUCCCUUUUCCCUCACUUUUAAACCAAAGGAAAAUCGCAAGCAGAUGAUCAACAAUUAAAUUUCUUAAGAUAAUACUAGAGUAAUAAGUAAUACUCUACUUAUCAUCUUCCGUGGUUAAGCCCAAAACUGAAAAGGGAAAGAAUUGAGAAGAUAAGAGAAAGCUGAUGAGCAACCAAUGCUCGAGAUCAUCUUUAGCUUAAUAAUGAAAAAUUAUGAUAAGAGAAAGCUAUGAGUAAUCAAGAUAAAGAUAUGAAAAAUUUCUUGAACCUUAAUUCCCACUAGAGUGCUUGAUGUCCAUUCGUCCCGCGCUAAUGUCCACAAUGUUAAUUAAUGACUUCCAUUAUUACUAAAUGACUAAUGUAUAUGCUCACGACAUUUUUUGGUAUUCAC
rnacentral:lncRNA from 1 species